rnacentral:rRNA from 1 species
GAUGAACGCUGGCGGCGUGCCUAAUACAUGCAAGUCGAGCGAACAGACGAUGAGCUUGCUCCUCUGACGUUAGCGGCGGACGGGUGAGUAACACGUGGAUAACCUACCUAUAAGACUGGGAUAACUUCGGGAAACCGGAGCUAAUACCGGAUAAUAUAUUGAACCGCAUGGUUCAAUAGUGAAAGACGGUUUUGCUGUCACUUAUAGAUGGAUCCGCGCCGCAUUAGCUAGUUGGUAAGGUAACGGCUUACCAAGGCAACGAUGCGUAGCCGACCUGAGAGGGUGAUUGGCCACACUGGAACUGAGACACGGUCCAGACUCCUACGGGAGGCAGCAGUAGGGAAUCUUCCGCAAUGGGCGAAAGCCUGACGGAGCAACGCCGCGUGAGUGAUGAAGGUCUUCGGAUCGUAAAACUCUGUUAUUAGGGAAGAACAAAUGUGUAAGUAACUAUGCACGUCUUGACGGUACCUAAUCAGAAAGCCACGGCUAACUACGUG